GGAGGAGUACUUUUCAAUUUUCAGUUCUUCAAAAUAUUUACCUCUCUUCAUUUUCUUAUCAAUGUCCUACAAUUUCGGCGAUGAUUCUCUCCCAAUAUUCUCUCUGUCUUCUUUUUUUUCUUUGAUUUUUUCAAAUCUCUGAACAGUUUCCAAUUCGAGGCAUCAGGUUCGUCCAAGAAAAAAGCCCUAACAGUGCCAGUUCACCCUUUCCGAAAUUCACUCCGUUUUUUAUUUGAUUUAGGUAAGUUUUUAACUAAUAUAUUGAUAUUCUUUAUUAUUUUGAGUUAUGUGGACAAUAUAUAUAUAUACACACACACACACACACACACACACACACUAAGGCUUUGAAUAUAUUGGAUCCCCGCUGAUUUUUAUUAUUUCUAUUUUUGAGAAUUUUUUGCAAAUUCAAUUUUUCGGAUUCCCAGAUGCAUAUUUGUUUGUAUAGAUAUUGCUCACUCAUCCUAAAGUUUACCCCUUAUGUUCUUUCAAAUAUCGAAUUGCAUGUUGUUGCUUUGUAUAAUAUUUUCUUGGUUGUUCUGCUACGGUGACAUUAUUCUGUCUCAAGAGGGAAGAAAAAAUUAAAAUGUUAGUUUAGGCUGAAAAAGCUUUUUGUUGCUUUGAUAUGGUUUUCCUUUCUAUUUUUGGUGUCAUGGUUUAUUCAAAGUUCUCUUUUUAACUUUUCAUUUCUGCCUAAGAAGUAGAAAAUAGAGAAAAUUAAUACCAAAUGCAGUACAAAUGCAGAUUAUAAGUUCUCUUAUUCAGGAAGAAACUCAAGUAGAUCAAAAUACAUUUCAAAACACCUAUUAAUAAAAAUCAUACUGUUUUUUGGAAAUGAUCCCAUAGAGUAAAUUGUUGAUCCUGCAUCAAAUUCAAUAGUCAAAACUUUUCUCUAACUGUUGUUGGUGGUGUUGUUUUAGUGGUAGAUAAAUUCAUCCACUCCUACCUUUCUCACUUGUUUCUACUUUCAUUAAACGGACUUGCACUCAUACUUUCAGUUUGCAUUUUCAUCAGACAAAUUGAUGAUAAUAUGAAGGAAGAAUAAUUUUAUGUUUUCACAAUCUAUUAGUUUCUUCCGUUCCUUUUUUUUUUAUUACUAAUUCUCUUUGGGAAUCAUAAAAAUGAUCAAAUAAUUAAAAAAGUUCAUGCUGACAAAAGGUUUAGGCUGCGAGAAUUAUAUAGACUGAUCCCAAUUGUCAAAAAAGCCCCUUUAAUGCAACUAUGAAUAAAUAAAGUUGAAUUAAAAGACAUCGUCUGUGACAAUGCAAUUAUUGCAUAGUCGCAAUAACACUCCGCAUAGAUGAACAUAAUUAGCUGAAAUAGUAUGAGUGAUUGGAGUAUCCUAAUUCCUGGUUCAAUUAGAACUAAAGGAACAAACAGUAAGGAAGUUCCCAUGUAUCAACUUUCAACAUAUUUAUUAUGCAGUUCCUCUUUAUUCUUGAGUAGCAAAUUUGGUUUUAACACUUUUUACAUGUCAAAGGAUAAUUUGUAUCUCUCCAGGAGAACAUUCACGUAUGAUGGCUUUAAGCACUGGUUGCACGAUGUCGAAGCUAGCAAAGGAUAAUGUUAACAUUCUGUCUAAUAUCAUCACCUUUUCAUGUCAAAAUUAUGUUAUUUUGGCUUUUGCUUAAAUGUCAUAGUUAUUUUUUUAAAAAGGAUCAUCAUUAAAUUAAACGUUGCACAUAGAUAUCAAUAGUAACUUGAAAC
rnacentral:lncRNA from 1 species